rnacentral:rRNA from 1 species
GAUGAACGCUAGCGGCAGGCCUAAUACAUGCAAGUCGAACGGUGUCUUCGGACAUAGUGGCGCACGGGUGCGUAACACGUAUGCAACCUACCUUACAUUGGGGGAUAGCCUUUCGAAAGGGAGAUUAAUACCGCAUAAGACAGUAGCUGGGCAUCCAGCAGCUGUUAAAGAUUUAUCGAUGCAAGCUGGGCAUGCGUCCAAUUAGCUAGUUGGUGAGGUAACGGCUCACCAAGGCAAUGAUUGGUAGGGGAACUGAGAGGUCAAUCCCCCACACUGGGACUGAGGUACGGGCCAGACUCCUACGGGAGGCAGCAGUAGGGAAUAUUGGGCAAUGGACGCAAGUCUGACCCAGCCAUGCCGCGUGCAGGAUAAAGGCGUUAUGCGUUGUAAACUGCUUUUAUACAGGAAGAAACGACUCUUGCGAGAGGCAUUGACGGUACUGUAUGAAUAAGCACCGGCUAACUCCGUGCCAGCCGCCGCCGUAAGAC